rnacentral:rRNA from 1 species
ACAGCAGGUCUCCAAGGUUAGAAGCUCUAGUUGGCAGAAUAAUGUAGGUAAGGGAAGUCGGCAAAAUAGAUCUGUAACUUCGGGAAAAAGAUUGGCUCUAAAGGCUGAGUAUAUGGGCUAUAUCAAUAAGUUAUUGGAGAUUAGGUUGUUACGAUUGGCUGUCAUGGUUGGUUGUGAUGGUUUAGUUGAAGAUGAUGGAUGGGUGUAGGCAACUGUCAAAGGUUGUGCUGUAUACAAUUAACAGCUAAUUUAGAACUGUUACUGACCAGGGGAAUCCGACUGUUUAAUUAAAACAAAGCAUUGUGAUGUUCUCAAUAAGGAUUUUAACACAAUGUGAUUUCUGCCCAGUGCUCUGAAUGUCAAAAGUGAAGAAAUUCAAACAAGCGCGGGUAAACGGCGGGAGUAACUAUGACUCUCUUAAGGUAGCCAAAUGCCUCGUCAUCUAAUUAGUGACGCGCAUGAAUGGAUCAACGAGAUUCCCCACUGUCCCUACUUACUAUCUGGUGAAACCGCAGCC